UUCUUCGGGGCAGGGUGACUGAUUAUUGUAUGAUCGGAAUUCCCUACCGGCGGUAUAGUCCGCGAGCUGCUUUUGCGGUUGAUCUGGUGAGAUUCCAGAACCGACAGUAUAGUCUGGAUGAGAGAAGA
rnacentral:ncRNA from 1 species